rnacentral:rRNA from 1 species
AGUGAACGCUGGCGGUAGGCCUAACACAUGCAAGUCGAACGGCAGCACAGUAAGAGCUUGCUCUUACGGGUGGCGAGUGGUGGACGGGUGAGGAAUACAUCGGAAUCUACUUUUUCGUGGGGGAUAACGUAGGGAAACUUACGCUAAUACCGCAUACGACCUACGGGUGAAAGCAGGGGAUCUUCGGACCUUGCGCGAUUGAAUGAGCCGAUGUCGGAUUAGCUAGUUGGCGGGGUAAAGGCCCACCAAGGCGACGAUCCGUAGCUGGUCUGAGAGGAUGAUCAGCCACACUGGAACUGAGACACGGUCCAGACUCCUACGGGAGGCAGCAGUGGGGAAUAUUGGACAAUGGGCGCAAGCCUGAUCCAGCCAUACCGCGUGGGUGAAGAAGGCCUUCGGGUUGUAAAGCCCUUUUGUUGGGAAAGAAAAGCAGCAGGUUAAUACCCCGCUGUUCUGACGGUACCCAAAGAAUAAGCACCGGCUAACUUCGU